AAGCUACUAAGGGUAUGUGGUGGAUGUCUUGGCAACAAGAGGCGAUGAAAGACGUGUAUUAGACUGCGAUAUGAUCCGGAGAGCUGUCAAAUAAGCUUUGACCCGGUUAUUUCUGAAUGGGGCAACCCAGCUGCUGGAAACAGUAGUUACUCGCGACUGAGUAAAGUAGGUCGUGUAGAGCGAACCGAGGGAACUGAAACAUCUAAGUACCUCGAGGAAGAGUAAUCAAUUGAGAUUCUGCUAGUAGCGGCGAGCGAACGCGGAAGAGGCCAAACCGGUAUGCUUGCAUGCCGGGGUUGUAGGACUUGCAUAAGGGAAGUUUAGGGAAGGAGAACAGUUUGGGAAAGCUGACCAUAGGGAGUGAAAGUCUCGUAUCCGAAUCUUUAAAUUACUGGCGAGUAUCCUGAGUAGGACGGGACACGUGAAAUCUUGUCUGAAUCUGGGUCGACCACGAUCCAAGCCAAAAUACUACUUGUUGACCGAUAGUGAACUAGUACCGUGAGGGAAAGAUGAAAAGAACCCCGAUAAGGGGAGUGAAAUAGAAUUUGAAACCGCAUACUUACAAGCAGAGAGAGGGCUAUUGUAAAGCUUGAUCUCGUACCUCUUGCAUUAUGAUCUAGUGAGUUACGAUGUGUAGCAAGGUUAAGCCGUCAGGUGUAGCCGUAGGGAAACCGAGUCUGAAUAGGGCGAAUAGUUGCAUGUCGUAGACCCGAAACGGGAUGAGCUAUCCAUGGGCAGGUUGAAGCGGGGGUAAAACCUCGUGGAGGACCGAACACAUAUAGGUUGAAAACUGUUGUGAUGACCUGUGGAUAGGGGUGAAAGGCCAAUCAAAUUCCGUGAUAGCUGGUUCUCUCCGAAAUGCAUUUAGGUGCAGCGUUUAACUAGUUUUAUAGAGGUAGAGCUACUGAUUGGAUGCGGGGGCUUCACCGCCUACCAAUUCCUGACAAACUCCGAAUGCUAUAAAAUGUUGUUGAGCAGUGAGGGCAUGGGUGCUAAGGUCCAUGUCCGAGAGGGAAAGAACCCAGAUCAUCAGCUAAGGUCCCCAAGUGUAUGCUAAGUUGACAAAACGCGGUAAAACUGCAUUGACAGCCAGGAUGUUGGCUUGGAAGCAGCCAUUCAUUUAAAGAGUGCGUAACAGCUCACUGGUCGAGCGGUUUUGCAUGGAUAAUAAUCGGGCAUAAGUAUACCACCGAAGCUAUGACUUUGUCUUAUGACAAGGGGUAGGGGAGCAUUCUAUGGGCAUUGAAGGUGCUGGCGUGAGCCGUGCUGGAGCGCAUAGAAACGAAAAUGUAGGCAUAAGUAACGAUAAUGCGGGCGAGAAACCCGCACGCCGAAAGACCAAGGUUUCCCCAGCUAUGCUAAUCAGCUGGGGGUCAGUCGGGACCUAACGCGAACCCGAACGGGGUAGUGGAUGGACAAUCAGUUAAUAUUCUGAUACCUGCUCACAUUAAAAGUGACGGGGAUGAGGCGUUGGUGCGAAGAGACGGAAUUCUUCGUUGAAGGUAGUGGAAGCUACUGAUAGUACACUGAGGCUUCGGCCAAGGUGAUAAUCCAGCUUAUCAUCCUCCAAGAAAAACAAGUGAAGCAGCCCGUACCGUAAACCGACACAGGUGGUUGGGAUGAGUAUUCUAAGGCGCUCGAGAGAUUCAUGGCUAAGGAACUAGGCAAAAUAGACCCGUAACUUCGGGAGAAGGGUCGCCCCCUGUAUGGGGGGCCGCAGUGAAGAGGUCCAGGCGACUGUUUAUCAAAAACACAGGGCUCUGCAAAAUCGAAAGAUGACGUAUAGGGCCUGACACCUGCCCGGUGCUGGAAGGUUAAGAGGAGAUGUUAUUUUUCGGAAGAAGCAUUGAAUUGAAGCCCCAGUAAACGGCGGCCGUAACAAUAACGGUCCUAAGGUAG
rnacentral:rRNA from 1 species